UCAAGAGAUAGGAACUUGGCAAUUAGUUCCAGCCUAUUUAGGCUUCAUAGUAUGGAAAUAAAAUAAC
ncrna:unclassified sequences lysM-Prevotella RNA